rnacentral:rRNA from 1 species
UACAGAGGUCUCAAGCGUUUGUUCGGAUUCAUUGGGCGUAAAGGGUGCGUAGGUGGCGAGGUAAGUCGGAUGUGAAAUCUCAGGGCUCAACCCUGAAACUGCAUUCGAUACUGCCUUGCUCGAGGACUGGAGAGGAGAUUGGAAUUCACGGUGUAGCAGUGAAAUGCGUUAGAUAUCGUGAGGAAGACCAGUGGCGAAGGCGGAUCUCUGGACAGUUCCUGACACUGAGGCACGAAGGCCAGGGGAGCAAACGGG